UUGACGUGCCUUGUUCACACAUAUUUUACAGUUAAAAUUCAUUUAAACGUAUAUCGAAUUGUUCAAAAGAGCCGAUGAGGAAUAUUCUAUUGUCAUUCUUGUACUGACAAGGUCGAAUGUCUUAUUUUCAAUCCGACGCUUGAAUUAUGAGAA